rnacentral:rRNA from 1 species
AUGGAAGUCUCGAGGAAGGCCAAGCGUGCCGGCGGCGGCUUCGACGACCGGCUGAGCGACCUGCCGGACUGCCUCCUCCAUGACAUCCUGUCGCGCCUCAAGGCCCGGCAGGUCGUUCAGACGUGCGUGCUGUCGCGGCGGUGGCAGCACCUCUGGCCCACGUGCCCGUGCCUCGACGUCGACAUCGGCGAGUUCCGCCCCGAUGCGACUCUAAGUCCCCACCCGUGGCCGCCGACCCCCGCCCAGCGCGGUAACUACGGGAAGGAGCCGCAGGAGCUGGCCGACUUUGAGGAUUUCGCCAACAGCCUUCUGGUCCAUCGGAUCCGGAGCGCCGGCGCUGCGCCCCUGCAAACCCUGCGGCUGCGCAUCCCUCCAGUCCUGCCGAUCUACGGCAGCGAGAUCUACGCGGCCAAGUACACGAGGUGGGUGCGUCGCGGCCUCCAGUGCUCCCCGGCGGCGCUCGACGUGCGCGGCUCCGUCACGCUGCCCCCUCUAGCCUCCCACCGCCUCACGAGCCUGCGCCUCGACCAGGUGAUCCUCCACCGUGAUUUCGCGGAGCACCUCGCCUCCGGGCUCCCCGUGCUGGAAGACCUGCAGAUCACCGGCACCAUGUUAUCAGCAGCGCUCCCGAGGAUCGCGUCCGGCACGCUAAAAAACCUCGUGGUCGAAUCCUCCACCCACAACAGCGAGAGCCUGACCUUCACCAUCGCCGCCCCUAGACUCGCGUCGCUGCACCUCGCCGUGAACUUCCAGUGCCUCAUCUACUUCGCCGUCGUCCUCGAGGAGGCGCCUUGCCUCGUCCAAGCAUCCGUCCGCCUGGUAGGGACGCCUGAUCUCCGGCACAAACAGGGGGACGGCUACUACCUUCAGCAUGACAGGGAUCUGCUCAGGGCUCUGUGCAACUUCAUCGGCUCUCUGUCCCACGUCUGCACCCUGAAGCUGCACGGCUUUGGCAACAUGACAGUAGUUGAGCAACCUAUACCCCAUGCUCCACCUCCUGGAGCUCAAUUCUUUCAACAUCAGCCGGAGAUGCUGCACCCGUAUAUACCUCUUGUUCCACCACCUGGACCAUUCUUCUUUCCAGAUCAGCCGCCGAUGCCGGCACAGCCACUCGCCGAGGACAAGUUCCCUUGUCCAAUGUUGCACGCGAUGCUCGACGAGGAGCACCACGGGUUACCGGUGUUUCGCAGCAUGAGGACCUUGGUCCUUGAGGAUUCCGAGAUUGGAGGCGAUGCUCAGACGCUCUGGCGUUUUCUGCAUAAUGCUCCUCUCCUAGAGAAGCUCACUCUAAAGAACUGUCAGUGCCAUGAUCAGUUCCCAAACACUUCAAUGAUGGAGCUACUACCUCGGACCAUAUCCCUCACCCCCAACCUGAAGUCGGUGGCAAUCAUCGAGGGCGACAGCGAUGGGAGCAUACGCGGAGCAAACGAACGAGUGGCUCUCGUUCCGUACCGCGUCUCCGCCGUCGGCCAAGCCGCCCCGGCUCCCAGCUUCCCGACGGCGGCCACUCCGGCCCCGUCGCCCACCCUCCCUCGCUAUCCACUCCCGUCGGACAUGGCCCCGUCCCCCACCCCUGGCCGGCCUCGCGAGCAGCGAUGGCUCGAGGCCAGCCUUUCACCGCCGAGCUCUGCGGAGCCGCGCGCCUCGCCCACCUCCUACCGCCAGGCGCUCUGCUUCGGCAUGCCUGAGCUCCCCGACUCCGUGGUCCCCUCUCCGCCGGUCGUCCACCCCGAGAUCCCCGCUCCGUCGGCCGUCAGGCGCGGUCCGCGCUCGGAGAUCCACCGGGUCGUCCCGGACGCGCCGUUGCUGCUGCAGCUGGAGGCGCCGGUUCCCCAGGCCCCGUGGGAGCAGCACGCGGCACCCGCGCAACGAGUGUCGCUGCGAUAUCCGGUGCUCUCGCUGCCGGCACUAUGGGCAUCUGCGGAGGCACUGCACCAACCCUCCCUACCGCCUGACGCCGCCGCCGGCAGUGCCCCCGAGCUGUGCUCCUCCCCACUCCACGGCCGCUAUCCACCCCGUCGCUUCCUCUGGGUCCAGCGUCGCAGGUCCUUGCUAGCCCGCGUCUUCCGGGUCGCGCAGUGCGUCUGCCACCUCUCCGCCCCCUCUGAGCCGUGCUUUGCUUCGCCCGUGAGGUCGUUGACCGCCUCCCCGAUGGCAACGGGCUCCUUGGCCGGCGCGGAGCCGGUCGAUCUUCUCUUUAGGGUGGACAUCGAGAUGACUGGCAUCCCAGAUCAUGCCUGGCAUCGCUCCACGGCGGAGUUGCUCCUCGCUCCCUUCUGCGAGAUUGAGCACUUGGCGCCGGAGACUCGCGACGGAUCCGACCGCUCCGCGCUCAAGCUGUCUGCAUGGACCAACAACCACAACGCCAUCCCGAGGCAUUCCGAGCUCUUUCUCCCGUAUGCUGAUGCGGUUCUUCCUGAUGCCAAUCCCGCGGUGGCUGAGUGGCUAUCUCUACGAGUCUACCGCCGCCCGGUAACUAUCUUCGUCACGGAGACGGCCGACUACCGGCGACCUGCGCCUCUGCCGCAGGCCGGUCGCGGCGGCGACGACGACGGGCCCCCUGGAGAUGAUGAUGGCACGACCGACGAUGGCCCUGGCUCCCCGCCUCUGCCGGACCCGUGGCCUAGGAGACACGAAUUCCCGCAUCGUUCCGGGAACAAUGACGCUGCCGCUGAUAGGUUUGCGCCGGGCGGCGCCGCCGGGAAGCGGCGUCGGCGGCGGCGAUACGGUGCUCCGCCUCCUGCCAGGAUUUGGACGGGCGUGUUGGGCCCCCACCCCUUGGACCCCACCCCUCCUGCCCGCCUGUCCGACGCCUUGGCCCACCGGCUUUCUUUUCCAGCUUUGGGCAAAGCGGCUGCCACGGUUUUGGACACUUCCGGCUCUGGGGCCCGUCCUGCAUUGAUCCUGCCGUUGGCCGGGCGACUAGAGGCAACGACCGCGUCUCCUCUCUGUGCGAAUCCCGCGGAUGAUCCUUCUCGGUCUCCUACCCCUUGUGUGUCGUCCCCCACCCUGGAGGGGCGUGACCUACCGCAACUCAACAGCUGUCCAGAUCCUGUGGGGUUGAGGCCUGCCUCGGUCCCUACCGCCUCUGUCGCCUCUCCCUGCCGCCCUGUAGCUGGGCCCUUGCCUGACCAUACCGCCCAGUUCUGCGCGCCCGACAGCUGCGGGCCUGACGACGAGGCAGUGCUGGCGCAACUCCCCUUCAUGUCUGUCUCCCCAUCCUCAUCCCAGCAGGGUGGGCCCGUACCUGUACAGAACGCUGAUUGGCUCGCAACUGCCUCACAGCCUCUUGUCGCCUCGGGGGUGGGGGAUGUUCUGGGGGGCCCGCCGCCCUCCCAUGACGAGGGCAACCGCACAACGAGCCCCACGACUGCUGUUGCAGAGGAUCAGGCGGGCCAGCUGCAUGGGGCCGUCCUUUCCAUGCAUGGGGGCGAUUCGUCUGGCGAAGUUAACCAUUUUUUGCUGCCCCUACUCCAAGCUGCUACUCCGGUUCUUCCCACGCCCGCGCCCCCUCCGCGUCGUCGGCGCAAUGAGCUGCCACCAAACUUCACGCCGUGGCGUAGUGGGUGGAUUGCCAUGUAUGACCGUGGCCUAGACUCCAAGCUAAAGGCCAAGCGCGUGCUGCUCAAGCGCCUGGGGCUACUCAAGGAAGAUCAGCCGCUUUCAGAUAGCUUACUCCAGCAAUACGCCAACCUCUUUGACCGCCCGUUGGCGGCCGAGACUGUGCAGGCCCUAGCAGACUUCUAUGGGUGGAUAAUUCCCACUGGUGCCAUUGGGUGUACCCCUCCUGGAUCCCCUGUGGCUCAGGGGCUCCUUGUCAUGGCUUGA